CGAGGUGUGGCUCAGUUUGGUAGAGCGCUACGUUCGGGACGUAGAAGCCGCAGGUUCGAAUCCUGUCACCUCGACCA
rnacentral:tRNA from 2 species